AAAGAUUAAGCCAUGCAUGUCUAAGUAUAAAUACCUUUAUAUUGUGAAACUGCGAAUGGCUCAUUAAAUCAGUUAUGAUCUACGUGACAAAUUCUUUACUACUUGGAUAACCGUGGUAAUUCUAGAGCUAAUACAUGCAAAAAAGCCCUGACUUACGAAGGGGUGCACUUAUUAGAUAAAACCAACGCGGGGUAAAACCUGUUUCUUGGUGAAUCAUAAUAAUUAAGCGGAUCGCAUGGCCUUGUGCCGGCGACGGUCCACUCGAUUUUCUGCCCUAUUAUGGUUGAGAUUGUAAGAUAGAGGCUUACAAUGCCUA
rnacentral:rRNA from 1 species